AUUGAACGCUGGCGGCAGGCCUAACACAUGCAAGUCGAGCGGCAGCGGGAAAGUAGCUUGCUACUUUUGCCGGCGAGCGGCGGACGGGUGAGUAAUGCCUGGGAAAUUGCCCAGUCGAGGGGGAUAACAGUUGGAAACGACUGCUAAUACCGCAUACGCCCUACGGGGGAAAGCAGGGGACCUUCUGGCCUUGCGCGAUUGGAUAUGCCCAGGUGGGAUUAGCUAGUUGGUGAGGUAAUGGCUCACCAAGGCGACGAUCCCUAGCUGGUCUGAGAGGAUGAUCAACCACACUGGAACUGAGACAAGGUCCAGACUCCUACGGGAGGCAGCAGUGGGGAAUAUUGCACAAUGGGGGAAACCCUGAUGCAGCCAUGCCGCGUGUGUGAAGAAGGCCUUCGGGUUGUAAAGCACUUUCAGCGAGGAGGAAAGGUCAGUAGCUAAUAUCUGCUGACUGUGACGUUACUCGCAGAAGAAGCACCGGCUAACUCCGUGCCAGCCGCCGCAGUAAUAC
rnacentral:rRNA from 1 species